GAAAGACUAAUCGAACCGUCUAGUAGCUGGUUCCCUCCGAAGUUUCCCUCAGGAUAGCUGGAGCCCUUAGCGAGGUCUAUCGGGUA
rnacentral:ncRNA from 1 species